GAUUCUGCAGGGCUCCCCGGUGCGGAUCUCUGCGGUCUUGUUCCCCUCUUUUGUCCUUGGUCACCGUUGUGGAGUUAAGUUGCGAGCUGAGGCAACCAAAACGCACCUCCCUCGCACACCCUCCCUGGACUGUCUAGACACCACUUCCCACCUAGAAGGAAAGGGCAAUUGGGAUGGCUGUCACUACAAACGCCAUCUUUCACGUGGGCGGAACUCGUCUCUGCUUGACGCGCCGCGGUUCCCUCGUGGGACUCCAUAGGAGAGAGAAAAGCCAGAGGAAGAUUCCAGAGCAGAGAGAAAGAAGAAAACUGGAUAUGGCCAGCAGACUGGACACGGACUUGGCUACAGAAGUGGGGGAGUGAGAGAAAAUAGUGGAGAUAGUGAGGUAUCAAGAGAGAGAAUAGAGCAUAGAAAGAGAUAAGAAUAAGAAAGAGCAAGGGUGGGAAUAGUGGAGAAUAGCCAGUUAAAGGGAGGGUGAGUAGCUGCAGGGAGGGACGGGCCAGGAGACCUGACAUGGAGGCUUUGAAAUGUGUAACAAGCAUUUGGGGGAUGAGGGAGUCUGAAGUCUCAUGGGCUUUGAUAUGCAGUCACUGUCAAUGGCCCAUGUCAUAUGACAACGUUGUAUGUCCCUUCUGCCAGAGGUAAGGGGAAUGACUCCUUUUUGCAGAUGGGAACUGGCUUUAGAAGUUCCUGAGGACCGAUGACUUUUAUAUAACAGUCAGAACUCUUACAGUUCAGCUUGAACCCUUUUCUGGAUAUGUGAGCAGCCUGAGACCUAACAGAAAGCUUUAUAGAAAAUAUACAUUUUGAGGUUCCAACUGAAAACCUACAGCAUCACCAUCUGUGGUGGUACCACCCAUGAAUAUGCAUUUUCAAAAUGUUUUGAGCUGUGAUGGUUUGGAUGCUUGGUCAUAUGGGCACUAUUAGGAGGUGUGGACUUAGUGGAGGAGGUGUGGCCUUGUUGGAGAAAGUGUGUCACUAUGUAGGUAGUCUUUAAGGCCUUCUUUGCUCAAGUUCCACCCAAUAUGGAAGAGAGUCUCCUCCUAGCUGUCUGCAGAAGAUAGUUUCCUGCUGCUGCCUUUGGAUCAAGAUCAAGACAGUGCUCUUCCAGCACCAUGUCUGCCUGGAUGCUGCCAUGUUUCCCGCUAUGAUGAUAAUGGACUGAACCUCUGAAACUGUUAGCCAGCCCCAAUUAAAUGUUGCCCCUUUUUAAGAGUUGCCUUGGAUAUAGUGCCUCUUCAUGGUGAUAAAACCCUAAAACAGGAGCCAAUCACUUGGCUGCGGAAGCACUAUCUUAGCUCUUGGUCAUCCUUUGAAAUGAGGUAAAGAGAAAUCAGUACACAUAGAAUAUAAAAAAAAAACAUAUUAAAGAAACAUGUAGAAAGUACCCCACUUUUCCAGAAAACAGAUACAAAGAAGUUAUACUAGUUGAUGUAAUUUGUGUUGGUUACCAUAAUCACAACACUCAUGUCUUGGGCACUGAAUAUAGUAGAACUCAGACUGUUCUUAUGAAGUGGUUUCCUCACAACUAAACCAUGAAUUGAGACUCUGAACUUCACUUUUGAUGCUCCUUACCACACAGCCUCCCCACUGGCUAUAUGGGUCAAGAAAGAGAGGGUCAUAUUUAAAGAAUUUGUAAAGAACAAGUAGUGUGCAUUCCCUAUGGUCAUAUUGCUUGUAUAGAAGUUGUCACAGCACCUCAGCAAGAUGAAGGAAGGCAAGGAAAAAAGAUCCUGAGUAUUUAGAAAGGAUAGAAAAUGACGUGGAAAACAGUGCCUUUGCCACUGGUAUGAGAAGUGGAGUCUCCAUUGAUUAAGCAACCUGAUCUUUUGCCAAGUGAGUGGGAAAGCAGACCACCAAGGAGAUGUGGUCAGCAAGUGCGAGCUUCUACAAAGGCCAUCCUGCUCCAAACGCUCCAGCCAAAGAAUGCAUGGUAACAGAGGUACUGUGACCUCACAUUAUAAAUAAAAGACUCAAAUC
ensembl:processed_transcript Gm12367 predicted gene 12367